AUGUGUAGGAACAAAGUUGGAUCUUGGAUGCUUUGCAAGCGCCCUUUCUAUGUUGUUUUCCUAUUUAUUUAUUUAUUGUGCUUCCCUUUUUUGGACUACAAUGUACUGGGAGGUGAGGAAAUGAGAUUGAACUACGUGUUUUCUUUUCAGGUAUACUUGAAGUUAACGAGUUUCCAAUUCCUUCUUGUUGUUAAUGAUAUGAAAGUGCAACCGUGGUUUUUGCUCCCAGCUGAUGCAUACUACUUUGCUUGCAACUAUCAUCAGCCAUUGUUGCUGGUACUGCCCCUUUUUGAGAACCAAAGAAAUACUGAUUUUUAG
rnacentral:rRNA from 1 species